GAUCCGGUGGCCUAGUGGUUAGAACGUCCGCAGCAGAAGCGGGAGGUCGUGGGUUCCAUCUCCGGCCGAAUCA